AAACCAUCUGCACCUUCUACGCGGAGAGGGGAGAGUCCCCUUCGGGAAGCCGUCCGGGCCCCGCGUCCAGCGUGGGCUUCGGCGCCGCCCGCCUCGACUCCCCGGCGCGCCGCCUGCCCCGUGCCCCCCGAACGGCUCGCCUGCCCGGCCGGCCGUGCGCUCCUCUCUCCCCUCCCGCGUUGGUUGGGCCGGGACGGCGGUUGGGCUGCCUGCGCGCCGGGCGGCGGUUGGGCGGGCGGGUGUCGGCCGGCCGGACCCGUGCGGGGGGUGGUGGCGCGCGCGGCCGUGGGUUCUCGUGCGGGUAUCCCGGCCCGCGAUUCCCAGCCACCCCGCCCGCAGAGGUGUGGGGAUCGCCCCUGCGGGUCGGUCUGCAAACGCGAUGGCGGGCUGGGUAGGGCGGAGGCCGAGGACCAAGAAAACUGGCGAGCGAGGCGGGUCUCUUAGGAGUCGGGCUCUCAUUGAGCUAACGCUAAAACUAGGAAAGUCUGUAGCCAGGUUGAAUUGGUACUAGGAAAAAUGGCAUAGUUGCGAUCUGCCUUCCCGGUGUACGAAGGCUACUAAAUUCGGGUGCCAUUAAUUUUAGCCUUGUUAGAUGGAUUAGUUGGAUUUCAACCGAUAUAUAUGUGUGUGUACACUUAAGCCAGAGAGUAGGGGGUGGUUUUGUGGUGUCAUUGAUGAAAUCCACCCAGCUAAAAAUCCCAUACCCUGAAUUCUUAAGAGCCUGCCUGCACAUCUUUCACUAAUCUUGUGUUUAAGGGCAAAUGUAUCUACUUUUCAUUAAAGCAAAAGGUACUCUU